CUUGUACUCCCUCUGUUCGGAAUUACUUGUCUCGGAAAUGGAUGUAUCUAGAACUAAAAUACAUCUAGAUACAUCCAUUUCUGCGACAAGUAAUUUCGAACGGAGGGAGUAUUAC
rnacentral:pre_miRNA from 1 species